UCAUAGACUUUCCCUGUUACAGCAUCACAUUGCGCGCGAGAAUUCUAGUUAACGCAUUCGGUCUCUACGCGCAACCGGCCGGCAUCAUAGCCAAUACUAGAUACUAAAACAAAAAAUUAUAUUCUAGUGCAGCCAACCAGUGUGUACUCAUUUAAAAAAGUGUGUUGUGCGCCAAGUUUGAAAUUUGCAAUUCGAAAUUUAUAAAAAUAUGGUGAUGUCAAAUAAUAUUCCCGGCAAUUUGUAUAAAAAUGAAUUGGGGAAUUAAAAACAAAAGUGAUAUUUUGUAAAACGAAAUCAUGCUUAACACGUGACAAUGUACGGAUUCAAAAAGCCCUUGGUCUUGUUGUUUUUCAUCUUAUCGUAUGCCAUCCGGUAUUGCACCUUCGGUAAUGAUGCGUUAUGGCUUAUUUUCGCUUCACUUUUAACCUUGACUGUUCUUCUGGCCCUUGGUACUUAUGACCAUGACUAUUGGUCAAACAGGGGUGUAUUUUCACCCCCCGCUUGGCCCUUCGUGGGCCACAUCUGGUCGUCUAUUACAUUUAAAGAACAAGCAGGCCUGUGCUACAAAAGAAUUUAUGAUGCCCACAAAGACAAAAGAAUUUUGGGCACCCAUCAGUUUUACGUACGAACCCUCCUGGUAUGCGACCCUGAGCUGAUAAGGAAGAUCUGCGUCAACGACUUUCAACACUUUGUGGACAGAGGGAUGUACUUCAACAGAGAAGUGGACCCUUUGGCCGAGUCCGUGCUGUAUCUUAGAGGGGGGGAGUGGAAAAAACUGAGGGCCAAGAUAUCACCAUUAUUCUCGCCAAACAAACUGCGAGGCAUGUACCCACUCAUCGAAACCACCGCUGACGACUUCGUCGCCAAGAUAAAGAAUCUUCUCGAAGGGUUUCAAAAUGGUGGCGUUUUCAAAUGCGAAAAGUUAGCAGGCGGGUUUACCGCAGACGCCAUAGUUCCUUGCGCCUUCGGAGUCAAGAGUCACGUGAUGCAUAAUGAUCAUGAUCCCUUUGCAGUGGCUCUCCACGCAUUUUACGAGCUAUCCCCGUCUAAUAUACUGCAGAAGACCAUGCUUCACUUCUGGCCGAAGUUUGCGAUGUUUUUCCGGAUGAGAAAUAUACCAAAGAAAACCCAAGACUUCUUCUACGACGUAGUUACCAACGUUCUGAGGUCAAGGGAAAGAGGAGAGCUGGAGAAGAGAGGCGACUUCAUCGACAUGAUGAUGGCGUUGCGACAAGACGACAACAACAACAACAGCAGCAAUAACAAAACUAUUGAAAAGGACGACACCCAGAUCACUGACAUGAUAAUAUCAGCGAACGCGUUCAUCAUAUUCCUGGGUGGGUUCGAGACCACGUCUUCAACCCUGGCCUUCAUGCUGCUGGAGCUAGCUGCCGACCCUCGCGUGCAGGACGCCAUGAGGCGGGAAGUGAUGGAGGUGCUGACGAGGAACGGCGGACACGUCAGCUACGAUCAGCUGCAAGAGCUCACUUAUAUGGAUAUGGUUAUAAAUGAGACUCUAAGGCUGUACCCGCCCUUCGCCACCAUACAGCGACAGUGCACCAAGGACUACACCAUCCCCGGGACGAAGGUGGUGGUGGAAGAGGGAACCAUCCUCAUGUUCCCCACGCUGGCCAUCCAGAGGGAUGAACAGUACUUCGAGCAAGCCAGCGCAUUCAUACCGGAGCGCUGGCGCCGCGCGCCGCCGCCCGGCGUCUUCAUGCCGUUCGGAGACGGGCCCCGGUACUGUCUCGGUAAACGCUUCGCUAUUCUACAAAUGAAAUGCUGCCUAGUGCGUCUGCUAUCGAACUUCUCAUUCAGCCCAGCUCCCAACAAGUCGGGCGACAUGCUCGCCGAGCGCGCCGAGCCGUUCCCAGCAGACGCCAGGUCUCCCAUCACGUUCCACCCUGCUGAUUCUACACUGAAAAUAAGUCUGCUACCACGAAAUACCUGAAUUGAAUAGUAUUGUAUAAAUUAGUGUAUCGUUAUUUUACUGCUUUUCCCUUUGUGUGGAAAUUAUGUAAGUUUUUGAUUCAUCACAUGAAUACUUUUAGAUGUAUCAAGUAUUGGCUAUUUGAAAAGCAAUAAAUAUUAUUUUUGCUUUUUAUCUGUCUGAUUGUUCGCUCCUCCUUAUACAAGUGGAGCCUCAUAGAUUAAUUAAAUCGUUAUUAAUAAUACUGUGGUUAUAAUAUAAUUAUGUGAAAAAAAACGAUUUCGGAUCAGUUAUUCUUUCAAAUUUUUUAGUACCGUAAAAAUAAUAAAACUUAAUACAUUAAAAAGCCCGUUACCUGAUAAUUUUCUUGUCUAAUUAAUUCUUGUGAUAGAUAAAAUAACUUUAUAUUGAUAACAUAGAAUACCUCUUUUUAAUAUCAGUCAUAUAGAUAUUUUUCGUAUUAAAUGUUGUGUUCAAACUAAUGUAUUAUUGUGUAUACACUGUUAUUAUUGUGCGGGUAACUUCUGCUAAAUGAAGAGUUUUAUUUACUCCCUCCUAAACUUUUCUAUAAAAUAAUAUACUAGGAAAUAAUAUAAUUAAGGAAAUCAGUGUUUUCUUUUGAAAGUUGCUAAAGUUCCUUCUUAAAAAGAAGGAAUAUCUGCAGGCUAUAUACGUACUUAACAUAAAUAUAAAUAAUUCUGUGCAAAUUUUUGACGGUUUCGUCAGUAACAGCUAAUAAAUACGCCCGUCUCAGUAACUUAGUACACCGAUAAUAUUGUCAAAGUCUGACAGUAAUCCUACUAAUAAUGCAGGAAUGUGAAGCUAUAGAUUGACUGGUGCAUGAAGUUCCAGACUGACAUUUAGGGUCCAGUGAGCUUGCUAAUCUCGGAUUACUUAGUGGCCUGUUCUCAGAAUCGCUUCUGAAACGAUUAAGUACUGCCGGCACACAGCGUCUGGUUUCAAUAGUACUUACUGUUAAUAAUUGUAUGGCAGUACUAUAUAAUGAAAUUUGAACUUACAUAUGGGACUAUGAAUGUACCUAAACGUUUUAAUCUGAUCAAGAAGAUUUUUUUUAACGAGAGUUGGCAUAAACUAAAAAAAAUUAUCAAAAGGCAUUCUUCAAUUUAACUCAUAAACAUCUCCUGGCACUUGACAUUUCGUCCUCGUGAGCUACUUGAGCCCUGAGUUCGCUUAUUACAUGACAAAAAGUGGCACCAAGCCCUGCUCGCGUAACAAUGGCACGCGCGACGCCAUUUUUAUUGCGCGAAAAACUAUCGCUAUUUCGUUUUUUAAUAUGACCUGAAACAGGACAGAGAUGAGUUGCUAAGAAGAAUCCUAAGUUUA